rnacentral:rRNA from 1 species
ACGGGAGGCAGCAGUGGGGAAUAUUGGGCAAUGGGCGAAAGCCUGACCCAGCAACGCCGCGUGAAGGAUGAAGGUCUUCGGAUUGUAAACUUCUUUGAUCAGGGACGAAUUUUGACGGUACCUGAAGAACAAGUCACGGCUAACUACGUGCCAGCAGCCGCGGUAAUACGUAGGUGACAAGCGUUAUCCGGAUUUACUGGGUGUAAAGGGCGUGUAGGCGGUUUUGCAAGUCAGAUGUGAAAUUCCCGGGCUUAACUUGGGCGCUGCAUCUGAAACUGCAGAACUUGAGUGCUGGAGGGGAUAGCGGAAUUCCUAGUGUAGCGGUAAAAUGCGCAGAUAUUAGGAGGAACACCGGUGGCGAAGGCGGCUAUCUGGACAGUAACUGACGCUGAGGCGCGAAAGCGUGGGGAGCAAACAGGAUUAGAUACCCUGGUA